GUCAAAACCACACGCCUUAAACGCCUGCUAACCCUUGAAAAGUGUUUUCAAGCUGUAAACAAGUAUGGCCGGGCUAUUUUCUGUCUCCGUAUCCAAGGACGUCGGCCAUGAUGUCGCAAGCCGGAAAUUACGUUGUAGACAAUCACAUCCACACAACAACAUUCGGCCCUGUCAAAACCACACGUCUUAAACGCCUGCUAACCCUUGAAAAGUGUUUUCAAGCUGUAAACAAGUAUGGCCGGGCUAUUUUCUGUCUCCGUAUCCAAGGACGUCGGCCAUGAUGUCGCAAGCCGGAAAUUACGUUGUAGACAAUCACAUCCACACAACAACAUUCGGCCCUGUCAAAACCACACGUCUUAAACGCCUGCUAACCCUUGAAAAGUGUUUUCAAGCUGUAAACAAGUAUGGCCGGGGUGAGUUUACAUUCAAACUUUCCUUACAUUU